ACGUCAGUGAAGCUUGGGUGAAUUUCUGGAAAGAGAACUACUCCAACUGGAAGCUCAACAAGGUCCUGGAGGAGUUCGCAUCCUGGGUCUUGGUGGAUGAUGAAGCAGUUGGCGCUUGCUUCUUCCCUCUGACAGAAGAUGGUGUCUCCAGUUAGAGCAUCUCCAACCCACCUCCCUUCUGACCUCCUAUCCUGUCUUUAGGAGAGAGAAAUGAAAAAACCCCUCCAACCCACCUCUCAUCGGGUUCCUAUGGAUAGGAGAGCUCUCAUCCACGAGCUCCAACCUCCUACAUCUAGGAGGCCCGCUCCCGACUCUCAUCCGGCUUGAGGAGCAACGGCCGCCCCUUCCUGCGCCGGCAUGGACGCCACUCCCACCAAUGGAACCCUGGAUGAUCGAUAUGCUUGGAAGCAAUGCUGGUGGCAGCCAUGAUCUGGAUAUGCUUGGAACCUAUGCUGGUGGCAGCCAUGAUGUGGAAGUUGCUGAGACUCAGUAUGCUAGCCCACAACUGGAACAAGUUUUCAUAGAGGCUGCAGUUGUUGAAGUUAGCACUGCUGUGAAAGGUAAUAAGAAGAGAUCUAAAAUUUUUAUCAUCAUGUAUUGAUCCAUAAAUCUGCUGGUACGCCAUAACUUAUCAUCAUGUAUGCUGCAGUAAUCUUCUGCAAACAAGAUAAUCCAAGACGUCUAUUUGAAUC